rnacentral:rRNA from 1 species
AGCGAACGCUGGCGGCAGGCCUAACACAUGCAAGUCGAGCGGGCACCGCAAGGUGUCAGCGGCAGACGGGAGAGUAACACGUGGGAACGUGCCCUUCGGUCCGGAAUAACUCGGGGAAACCCGUGCUAAUACCGGAUACGCCCUUACGGGGAAAGAUUUAUCGCCGAUGGAGCGGCCCGCGUCUGAUUAGCUAGUUGGUGGGGUAAUGGCUCACCAAGGCGACGAUCAGUAGCUGGUCUGAGAGGAUGAUCAGCCUCACUGGGACUGAGACACGGCCCAGACUCCUACGGGAGGCAGCAGUGGGGAAUAUUGGACAAUGGGCGCAAGCCUGAUCCAGCCAUGCCGCGUGGAUGAUGAAGGCCUUAGGGUUGUAAAGUCCUUUUAACGGGGAAGAUAAUGACGGUACCCGUAGAAUAAGCCCCGGCUAACUUCGUGCCAGCAGCCGCCGCGG